ACGCUGGCGGCAGGCUUAACACAUGCAAGUCGAGCGGGGAAAUGUAGCUUGCUACAUUACCUAGCGGCGGACGGGUGAGUAAUGCUUAGGAAUCUGCCUAUUAGUGGGGGACAACAUCUCGAAAGGGAUGCUAAUACCGCAUACGUCCUACGGGAGAAAGCAGGGGACCUUCGGGCCUUGCGCUAAUAGAUGAGCCUAAGUCGGAUUAGCUAGUUGGUGGGGUAAAGGCCUACCAAGGCGACGAUCUGUAGCGGGUCUGAGAGGAUGAUCCGCCACACUGGGACUGAGACACGGCCCAGACUCCUACGGGAGGCAGCAGUGGGGAAUAUUGGACAAUGGGGGGAACCCUGAUCCAGCCAUGCCGCGUGUGUGAAGAAGGCCUUUUGGUUGUAAAGCACUUUAAGCGAGGAGGAGGCUACCGAGAUUAAUACUCUUGGAUAGUGGACGUUACUCGCAGAAUAAGCACCGGCUAACUCUGUGCCAGCAGCCGCGGUAAUACAGAGGGUGCAAGCGUUAAUCGGAUUUACUGGGCGUAAAGCGCGCGUAGGUGGCCAAUUAAGUCAAAUGUGAAAUCCCCGAGCUUAACUUGGGAAUUGCAUUCGAUACUGGUUGGCUAGAGUAUGGGAGAGGAUGGUAGAAUUCCAGGUGUAGCGGUGAAAUGCGUAGAGAUCUGGAGGAAUACCGAUGGCGAAGGCAGCCAUCUGGCCUAAUACUGACACUGAGGUGCGAAAGCAUGGGAGCAAACA
rnacentral:rRNA from 1 species